rnacentral:rRNA from 1 species
GCAAAGGUUGAAACUCAAAAGGAAUNGACGGGGGCCCGCACAAGCGGUGGAGCAUGUGGUUUAAUUNGNNGCAACGCGAAGANCCUUACCAGGUCUUGACAUCCCUCUGACCGCUCUAGAGAUAGAGUUUUCCUUCGGGACAGAGGUGACAGGUGGUGCAUGGUNGUCGUCAGCUCGUGUCGUGAGAUGUUGGGUUAAGUCCCGCAACGAGCGCAACCCCUAUUGUUAGUUGCCAUCAUUCAGUUGGGCACUCUAGCGAGACUGCCGGUAAUAAACCGGAGGAAGGUGGGGAUGACGUCAAAUCAUCAUGCCCNUUAUGACCUGGGCUACACACGUGCUACAAUGGCUGGUACAACGAGUCGCAAGCCGGUGACGGCAAGCUAAUCUCUUAAAGCCAGUCUCAGUUCGGAUUGUAGGCUGCAANU